UCCUUAUUAGUAUAUAUUUACUUUCCUUGCACCUCAAUUCAUGUGUAAUAUAUAUAUGCCCCUUGGGCCUUCAAUACAGAUAAGUUGUUUUCCUAACAUGGUAUUAGAGCCUAGGUUUAGGUCUCAGGGCGCCGCCCGUCCGCCUCGAUCUGCUCCAGCCGCCGUUCCUGUCACUGGAUCUCGUCUCUGCCCCCCGUUGGAUCCCGUUCCCGUCGCUGGAUCUCGUCUCUGCCCCCCGUUGGAUCCCGUUCCCGUCGCUGGAUCUCGUCUC
rnacentral:lncRNA from 1 species